AGCAGCCGCGGUAAUUCCAGCUCCAAUAGCGUAUAUUAAAGUUGUUGCAGUUAAAAAGCUCGUAGUUGAAUUUCGGGGUCAGUAGGUUGGUCGUGCCAAUGGUAUGCACUGGCUUUACUGAUUCCUCCUUCUUGAAGAACUGUAAUGUCAUUAAUUUGGUGUUGCAGGGAAACAGGACUGUUACUUUGAAAAAAUUAGAGUGUUUAAAGCAGGCUAACGCUUGAAUACAUUAGCAUGGAAUAAUGAAAUAGGACGUUCGAUCCUAUUUUGUUGGUUUCUAGGAUUGACGUAAUGAUUAAUAGGGAUAGUUGGGGGCAUUAGUAUUCAAUUGUCAGAGGUGAAAUUCUCGGAUUUAUUGAAGACUAACUACUGCGAAAGCAUUUGCCAAGGAUGUUUUCAUUAAUCAAGAACGAAGGUUAGGGGAUCGAAGACGAUCAGAUACCGUCGUAGUCUUAACCAUAAACUAUGCCGACUAGGGAUCGGAUGAUGUUAAUUUUUUAAUGACUCA
rnacentral:rRNA from 1 species